UGAGGAAUAUUGGGCAAUGCCCGAAAGGGUGACCCAGCAACGCCGCGUGGAGGAUGAAGGUCGUAAGAUUGUAAACUCCUGUUAGAGGGGAAGAAUAACUAAGUUUGGAGCUUAGUAUGACUGUACCCUCAGAGAAAGCCCCGGCUAACUACGUGCCAGCAGCCGCGGUAAUACGUGGGGGGCAAGCGUUGUCCGGAUCUACUGGGUGUAAAGGGCGCGCAGGCGGAAUGGAAAGUCAGUGGUGAAAUCCUACAGCUUGACUGUAGAACUGCCUUUGAUACUUUCAUUCUUGAGUUCGGGAGAGAGAGACGGAAUUCCAGGUGUAGUGGUGAAAUACGUAGAUAUCUGGAAGAACACCAGUUGCGAAGGCGGUCUCUUGGUCCGAUACUGACGCUGAGGCGCGAAAGCGUGGGGAGCAAACAG
rnacentral:rRNA from 1 species